rnacentral:rRNA from 1 species
UAUGGUAAUUCCAGCCGCCGCGGUAAUACGGAGGAUGCGAGCGUUAUCCGGAUUUAUUGGGUUUAAAGGGUGCGUAGGCGGUUUAUUAAGUUAGUGGUUAAAUAUUUGAGCUAAACUCAAUUGUGCCAUUAAUACUGGUAAACUGGAGUACAGACGAGGUAGGCGGAAUAAGUUAAGUAGCGGUGAAAUGCAUAGAUAUAACUUAGAACUCCGAUAGCGAAGGCAGCUUACCAGACUGUAACUGACGCUGAUGCACGAGAGCGUGGGUAGCGAACAGG